rnacentral:tRNA from 2 species
GAUAGCUCAAUGGUAGAGCAUUCGGCUGUUAACCGAAGGGUUGUAGGUUCGAGCCCUACUC